UACGUAGGGGGCAAGCGUUGUCCGGAAUCAUUGGGCGUAAAGAGCGUGUAGGCGGCCCGAUAAGUCCGCUGUGAAAGUCCAGGGCUCAACCCUGGAAUGCCGGGUGGAUACUGUCGGGCUCGAAUCCGGAAGAGGUGAGUGGGAAUUCCUGGUGUAGCGGUGAAAUGCGCAGAUAUCAGGAGGAACACCAAUGGCGAAGGCAGCUCACUGGGACGGUAUUGACGCUGGAGACGCGAAAGCGUGGGGAGCAAACAGGG
rnacentral:rRNA from 1 species